UACGAAGGGGGCUAGCGUUGCUCGGAAUCACUGGGCGUAAAGGGUGCGUAGGCGGGUCUUUUAAGUCAGGGGUGAAAUCCUGGAGCUCAACUCCAGAACUGCCUUUGAUACUGAGGAUCUUGAGUUCGGGAGAGGUGAGUGGAACUGCGAGUGUAGAGGUGAAAUUCGUAGAUAUUCGCAAGAACACCAGUGGCGAAGGCGGCUCACUGGCCCGGUACUGACGCUGAGGUGCGAAAGCGUGGGGAG
rnacentral:rRNA from 1 species